rnacentral:rRNA from 1 species
CAGUAGCCGCGGUAAUACGUAGGUCCCGAGCGUUGUCCGGAUUUAUUGGGCGUAAAGCGAGCGCAGGCGGUUAGAUAAGUCUGAAGUUAAAGGCUGAGGCUUAACCAUAGUACGCUUUGGAAACUGUUUAACUUGAGUGCAAAAGGGGGGAGUGGAAUUCCAUGUGUAGCGGUGAGAUGCGUUGAGAUCGGAAAGAACACCAACGGCGAAAGCACUCUGCUGGGCCGACACUGACACUGAGAGACGAAAGCUAGGGGAGCAAAUGGGAUUAGAUACCCCUGUAGUCCCUGUCUCUUAUACC